CCCUUCAGAUUCCUUACCCAGAGAUCAGAACCAUGGUCUGAGUGGCUAUAAAAUGAAGAAAAGUAAAAUUGAAAGAGACUUGAAUUCUUUUGUGACAUCCAAGUUCAUUUCAAUUAAAA
rnacentral:snoRNA from 1 species